rnacentral:lncRNA from 1 species
CGGUUUUGUAGUUCAGGAGGUAAAGUAGUCCACCCUAAAUAGUUUAGGGGUUAUGUAGACUUUAUCCUUUUGCACAAUUGAUUCUGAUUUGUAAACAGCUAAAGCUCUAAGAAUAACAAAAAAAAAAACUGAUUUCUCAUUGGUUCUCAUGCUAAUUACUUCCACCUGAUUUUGUGCGCAACGAGCUGAUCAAGUAAACUCGAUCAAUUUGCAUCAUGACGCACGUUACAUAUGUCGUGCAUGCUACAGAUGAAAGCAACCGUGUGCCUUGUCAGCUAAUAAAGCAGUGUAGAAGCUCGCCAU